rnacentral:rRNA from 1 species
GGCCCUACGGGGUGCAGCAGGCGCGAAAACUUUACAAUGCUGGGAACAGCGAUAAGGGAACCUCGAGUGCCAGGUUACAAAUCUGGCUGUCGAGAUGCCUAAAAAGCAUUAUAUAGCAAGGGCCGGGCAAGACCGGUGCCAGCCGCCGCGGUAACACCGGCGGCUCGAGUGGUAACCGUUAUUAUUGGGUCUAAAGGGUCUGUAGCCGGCCGGAUAAGUCUCUUGAGAAAUCUGGCAGCUUAACUGUCAGGCUUUCAGGGGAUACUGUCUGGCUCGAGGCCGGGAGAGGUGAGAGGUACUUCAGGGGUAGGGGUGAAAUCUUGUAAUCCUUGAAGGACCACCAGUGGCGAAGGCGUCUCACCAGAACGGACCUGACGGCAAGGGACGAAAGCUAGGGGCACGAACCGGAUUAGAUACCCGGGUAGUCCUAGCCGUAAACGAUACUCGCUAGGUGUCGGCCACGGUGCGACCGUUGUCGGUGCCGUAGGGAAGCCGUGAAGCGAGCCACCUGGGAAGUACGGCCGCAAGGCUGAAACUUAAAGGAAUUGGCGGGGGAGCACCACAACGGGUGGAGCUUGCGGUUUAAUUGGAUUCAACGCCGGAAAUCUU